GACGAACGCUGGCGGCGUGCUUAACACAUGCAAGUCGAACGAAGAGCGAUGGACGCUUGCUUCUAUCAAUCUUAGUGGCGAACGGGUGAGUAACGCGUAAUCAACCUGCCCUUCAGAGGGGGACAACAGUUGGAAACGACUGCUAAUACCGCAUACGAUCCAAUCUCGGCAUCGGGACUGGAUGAAAGGUGGCCUCUAUUUAUAAGCUAUCACUGAAGGAGGGGAUUGCGUCUGAUUAGCUAGUUGGAGGGGUAACGGCCCACCAAGGCGAUGAUCAGUAGCCGGUCUGAGAGGAUGAACGGCCACAUUGGGACUGAGACACGGCCCAGACUCCUACGGGAGGCAGCAGUGGGGAAUCUUCCGCAAUGGGCGAAAGUCUGACGGAGCAACGCCGCGUGAGUGAUGACGGCCUUCGGGUUGUAAAGCUCUGUUAAUCGGGACGAAUGGUUCUUGUGCGAAUAGUGCGAGGAUUUGACGGUACCGGAAUAGAAAGCCACGGCUAACUACGUG
rnacentral:rRNA from 1 species